rnacentral:misc_RNA from 1 species
GCCAACUAUAAGAUCAAGAUCAAGAUCAGAAUGCAAAUCAGCUGAUGUAGGUAGCAGCGCCAAGGUGGGCUGUAGUCAGGUACCAGAACACCUUCAGGAUGUCUGUUGCAUGUCGCUGGACCAGACGGUUGUGCGGUAGGCACCUCACUCUGAACCGAGGCAUGCACUCCUCUGCAGUGCUCUCCAAUAAAGAAGAUGAAACCCCAAAGAAAGUUUGGGUCACCCACCACCGUGAGGGUGAGAAAAUGUCAUGGAAUGUCCCCAGUGAACCUGUUGAUGUCAGACAGAAGAUACCUGACAAUGAGUGGCGGGGACUCCUGCACCGGAUUGCACCAAAGAAACCCAUCAGAGCAGACUUUAUGAGCUACAUGCAGAGAGGGAUUGACUUGCGGCCAUCCUCCAUCAAAAGGUGGUGGGGCAAUAUGCAGACUGAGGCAGCAGCAAAAGAUCAAAUGUACAAACCAGAGCGUGUGGCAGUGUUGGGGUUUGAGUUGGCUGCAGCUCACUUUGUUGUUCACCGUGGGGGGAGGGUGCGCUUCAGGGGCGUCAAGGAGUGGGUGGAGCAGAAUGAGGAUGAAGAGUAUGAGUUGUCAAGACACUAUCAGCCUGGCGUGUAUAUAGAGGAGGUGGAUGCGAGUAAAAUUAACCUGGUGUAUGAAGGUCUGGAGAGCAUGAAAAACCUCAUGUACCUGAAGAAUCUCUCUGUAUCUGGCUGUGCCCACAUUGAUGACUGGUGCAUUGAUCGGAUCUGCUGUCAGUUCUCAGGCACCUUGGAGCACCUUGACAUCAGCGGGUGUACCAAGGUGACAGAGCGUGGUAUUGGAGCGCUGGCGAGACUGAGUGGUUGUCAGUCUGUCCAUCAUUUGACAGACAACUGCGCACUCUCAACAUUACCGGCCUGGAUGGUGUCAAGGAUAUCAGACUACUCUGCCUCCUCCUAAAAGACGACCUGCCUCAACUCAAAAUAUCUGGCAUCAAUUACUUCAAUCCUGAGACAUUAGAACAUUCAUAGGAGUAGCAUGGUGGGAGGAGGCAAUCCACAGUGCAUGUUAGUCAUGCCUUACACACAGCUGCUUGUGGACAGGUAUGCUUGUACCUAGCUCAUCACCUGCCAAUAAACAAAUACUGUCCUAUGCAAACACAGAUCCACAAACUUGAUUAUUUUCUUCUUCAACUUCAAAAUUUAGAAUUUUGUUAUGUAUUUAAAACCCAAAGACUUAGUCAUUAUCUUCUACAACUUCAAAUCAACAAACUCAAUCACUCUUUUGUAUACAUCUUCAAUUCACAAACAAUCAUUAUCUUCCAUAUCUUCAAAUCUGCAAAUUUAUCAUUAUCUUCUACAGUUUCAAAUCCACAAACUUAAUAAUUUUCUUCUGUAACUUUAGUUCCAGAAACUUAAUGAUUGUCUCUUGUAACUUAAAAUCUGCAGAUGUUUUGCAGUUGGUGGCUGUGCAUCCUUUUUUUAAAGAUUUUUGAGAAACUUACUGUUGCCAUGGUCUGGCACAAAGAUUUGAUUUCCAAACUGCCUUCCUAGGGCUUGUAUUUGUCUCUCUGCAACUUUCUCUUAAGUUUCUUGACUGUUUUAUUGCUGCUGUGAUAGAUUGUCACUGUUUUUCUAAAUCUUUUGAUACUGAUAUUCAUCAGGGUUCUGUUCUGUCAACCACUCUCUUCCUAUUAUUCAUCAAUGAUCUAAACCAAACUUUUUGUCCUAUUUGCUCUUAUGGUGAUGAUACCAUCCUACACUUUUCCACGUCCUUUAAGAGAUGACCAACUCUUCAUGAGAUGAAUAGAACGCAUAGGGAUGCCACAGAACUCCUGACUUUUAAGCUUUCUAAAAUUUCUGAUUGGGGCAGAAUGAACUUAGUAUUGUGCAAUGCCUCAAAAACUCAUUUCUUCUAUCAAUCAAUUCAGCACAACUUACCAGACAAUUUUCCAGUCCAGUGACAAUUAACUGUUUCCCUCCUUUAUACUGAACAUCCUCAGUCUGUCCUUUUCUUAUAUGUAAUCUAAACUGGAAAUUUCACAUCUCAUCUCUUGCUAAUACAGCUUCUAUGAAGUUAGAUGUUCUGAGUCAUCUCUCAGUUUUUCUCACUUCCCCAAAUUCAUCCUUUUCUCUGGUAAAUCUGGAACACCUUGUCUGCUUCUAUAUUUUCACCUUCCAAUGACUUAAUU